rnacentral:rRNA from 1 species
GAUGAACGCUGGCGGCGUGCCUAAUACAUGCAAGUCGAGCGAACGGACGAGAAGCUUGCUUUUCUGAUGUUAGCGGCGGACGGGUGAGUAACACGUGGAUAACCUACCUAUAAGACUGGGAUAACUUCGGGAAACCGGAGCUAAUACCGGAUAAUAUUUUGAACCGCAUGGUUCAAAAGUGAAAGACGGUCUUGCUGUCACUUAUAGAUGGAUCCGCGCUGCAUUAGCUAGUUGGUAAGGUAACGGCUUACCAAGGCAACGAUGCAUAGCCGACCUGAGAGGGUGAUCGGCCACACUGGAACUGAGACACGGUCCAGACUCCUACGGGAGGCAGCAGUAGGGAAUCUUCCGCAAUGGGCGAAAGCCUGACGGAGCAACGCCGCGUGAGUGAUGAAGGUCUUCGGAUCGUAAAACUCUGUUAUUAGGGAAGAACAUAUGUGUAAGUAACUGUGCACAUCUUGACGGUACCGAAUCAGAAAGCCACGGCUAACUACGUG